AAGCUCGGCCAGUUGGUGGCUUGGGUUACCUGGGAGCUCAGAAGUGGAGCAGGCCUCUCAGGCUCUCUGCAUGUCUUCCCACCUCUGUCCAAGCCCCAGGGGAUAUCUAAGAAAUGGAUGUUCUGGCCACAAAUCUAGAACAGACUGCACCAGCUACUCUGGGUGAGAAUCCAGCUGAGCCACUGAUUGACCUUGGGUAAGUUGCUCAGUCUUUUGACCAUAUUAAAUUUUACUUGAGCCUGAGAAAACAGUAA
rnacentral:lncRNA from 1 species